GACGAACGCUGGCGGCGCGCCUAACACAUGCAAGUCGAACGGAGUCAAGAGGAGCUUGCUUUUCUUGACUUAGUGGCGAACGGGUGAGUAACGCGUGAGUAACCUGCCCUGGAGUGGGGGACAACAGUUGGAAACGACUGCUAAUACCGCAUAAGCCCACGGAUCUGCAUGGAUCUGCGGGAAAAGGAUUUAUUCGCUCUAGGAUGGACUCGCGUCCAAUUAGCUAGUUGGUGAGGUAACGGCCCACCAAGGCGACGAUUGGUAGCCGGACUGAGAGGUUGAACGGCCACAUUGGGACUGAGACACGGCCCAGACUCCUACGGGAGGCAGCAGUGGGUGAUAUUGCACAAUGGGGGAAACCCUGAUGCAGCGACGCCGCGUGGAGGAAGAAGGUUUUCGGAUUGUAAACUCCUGUCGUUAGGGACGAUAAUGACGGUACCUAACAAGAAAGCACCAGCUAACUACGUG
rnacentral:rRNA from 1 species